rnacentral:rRNA from 1 species
CACGUAGGGUGCGAGCGUUGUCCGGAAUUAUUGGGCGUAAAGAGCUCGUAGGCGGCUUGUCACGUCGGGUGUGAAAUCUCGGAGCUUAACUCCGAAACUGCAUUCGAUACUGCCGUGCUUGAGGACUGGAGAGGAGACUGGAAUUUACGGUGUAGCGGUGAAAUGCGUAGAUAUCGUAAGGAAGACCAGUGGCGAAGGCGGGUCUCUGGACAGUUCCUGACGCUGAGGCACGAAGGUCAGGGGAGCAAACGGG